UCCCUGGUGGCUCAGACGGUAAAGCGUCUGCCUGCAAUGCGGGAGACCCAGGUUCAAUUCCUGGUUUGGGAA